rnacentral:rRNA from 1 species
UUAAUUGAAGAGUUUGAUCAUGGCUCAGAUUGAACGCUGGCGGCAGGCCUAACACAUGCAAGUCGAGCGGCAGCACAGAGGAACUUGUUCCUUGGGUGGCGAGCGGCGGACGGGUGAGUAAUGCCUAGGAAAUUGCCCUGAUGUGGGGGAUAACCAUUGGAAACGAUGGCUAAUACCGCAUGAUGCCUACGGGCCAAAGAGGGGGAC